rnacentral:rRNA from 1 species
GAGGCAGGAGUGAGGAAUAUUGGUCAAUGGGCGAGAGCCUGAACCAGCCAAGUCGCGUGAAGGAUGACUGUCUUAUGGAUUGUAAACUUCUUUUGUAGGGGAAUAAAGACUGGCACGUGUGCUGGAGUGAAUGUACCCUACGAAUAAGCAUCGGCUAACUCCGUGCCAGCAGCCGCGGUAAUACGGAGGAUGCGAGCGUUAUCCGGAUUUAUUGGGUUUAAAGGGUGCGUAGGCGGCCUGUUAAGUCAGCGGUGAAAUCUAGGGGCUUAACUCCUAAAUUGCCAUUGAUACUGGUGGGCUUGAGUGUAGAUGAGGUAGGCGGAAUGCGUGGUGUAGCGGUGGAAUGCAUAGAUAUCACGCAGAACUCCAAUUGCGAAGGCAGCUUACUAAGGUACAACUGACGCUGAAGCACGAAAGCGUGGGUAUCAAACAGGAUUAGAUACCCUGGUAGUCCACGCAGUAAACGAUGAUAACUGGGCGUAUGCGAUAUACAGUAUGCUCCUAAGCGAAAGCGUUAAGUUAUCCACCUGGGGA